UGGGAUAACAUGGUGGCAGAAGGAACUGAAACCUGGAUAGCUCCUGAAUAUUGCAUGAAGGACCCUCCUGCAAAUGUGGCCAACGUCUCAGUCCCCAGCAAAUUGAUGUGUUCUCUCCACGCAAGCAAAUCAAGGUCGACGAUGUUUGUUUACCAAAGUAAGACUUGUUCCACAUACGACGGCCUCAAUGAAGCUUCCUAUUCGACUCUGGUAUUCGCCAGGAAAACUUCUCCCGCUCUGUUGGAGGAAGUCGCCAGGGGAAAGAACACCUUCACUAGUCAGCAGUGUCCGAACCAUGUAAAAGAAAAUGCAGUCGACGGAAACGUAACAACCUUAUACCACUCUGAGGUCAAGUAAACCCUUUCUGGACAGUCGAUUUGGGAGAAGUCCGGAACGUAUCUGGUCAGGAUCCUUCCUAAUGGCAAC